rnacentral:piRNA from 1 species
CAGACCUGUUUUUAUUUGCUCAGA